AUACUUACCUGGCAGGGGAGAUACCAUGACCAGGAAGGUAGUUUUCCCAGGGUGAGGCUCCUCCAUUGCACUCCAGGUGUGCUGACCCCUGCAAUUUUAGUACUUCAUUAUGUAUAAAUACUGUAUUUUCUUUAUCUAUUCAUCUGUUGAUAGACAUAGGC
rfam:Heterocephalus glaber contig35118, whole genome shotgun sequence.